UACGUAGGGUGCAAGCGUUAAUCGGAAUUACUGGGCGUAAAGCGUGCGCAGGCGGUUUUGUAAGACUGUCGUGAAAUCCCCGGGCUUAACCUGGGAAUGGCAUGGGAAACUGGCGGGCUGGAGUGUGGCAGAGGGGGGUGGAAUUCCGCGUGUAGCAGUGAAAUGCGUAGAGAUGCGGAGGAACACCGAUGGCGAAGGCAGCCCCCUGGGCUAACACUGACGCUCAGGCACGAAAGCGUGGGGAGCAAACAGG
rnacentral:rRNA from 1 species